rnacentral:rRNA from 1 species
CGAGUGGCGAACGGGUGAGUAAUACAUCGGAACGUGUCCGCUCGUGGGGGACAACCAGCCGAAAGGUUGGCUAAUACCGCAUGAGUUCUACGGAAGAAAGAGGGGGACCCGCAAGGGCCUCUCGCGAGCGGAGCGGCCGAUGACUGAUUAGCCGGUUGGUGAGGUAACGGCUCACCAAAGCAACGAUCAGUAGCUGGUCUGAGAGGACGACCAGCCACACUGGGACUGAGACACGGCCCAGACUCCUACGGGAGGCAGCAG